rnacentral:rRNA from 1 species
UACGAAGGGGGCAAGCGUUGUUCGGAAUUAUUGGGCGUAAAGGGAGCGUAGGCGGUUCGGCAAGUCUUUAGUGAAAUCUCUGGGCUCAACUCAGAGUCUGCUGGAGAAACUGCCGGGCUGGAGUAUGGGAGAGGUGAGUGGAAUUCCCGGUGUAGCGGUGAAAUGCGUAGAUAUCGCCUGGAACGCCGAAGGUGAAAACAGUCUGCUGGGGGCGCACCGACGCUGAGACACGAAAGCCCAGGGGAGCGAACGGG